rnacentral:rRNA from 1 species
AUGGGCGAAAGCCUGAUGCAGCCAUGCCGCGUGUAUGAAGAAGGCCUUCGGGUUGUAAAGUACUUUCAGUAGGGAGGAAGGUGCAGACGUUAAUAGCGGAUGCAUUUGACGUUACCUACAGAAGAAGCACCGGCUAACUCCGUGCCAGCAGCCGCGGUAAUACGGAGGGUGCGAGCGUUAAUCGGAAUUACUGGGCGUAAAGCGCAUGCAGGUGGUUCAUUAAGUCAGAUGUGAAAGCCCGGGGCUCAACCUCGGAACUGCAUUUGAAACUGGUGAACUAGAGUGCUGUAGAGGGGGGUAGAAUUUCAGGUGUAGCGGUGAAAUGCGUAGAGAUCUGAAGGAAUACCAGUGGCGAAGGCGGCCCCCUGGACAGACACUG